GAUUAACGCUGGCGGCGUGCAUAACACAUGCAAGUCGAACGAUGAAACUUAAAUGAUUUCUUCGGAAUGAACUUAAGUGGAUUAGUGGCGGACGGGUGAGUAACGCGUGAGUAACCUGCCUUACACAAGGGGAUAGCCGUUGGAAACGACGAAUAAUACCCUAUGAAACUAUCACUUCGCAUGAAGCGAUAGUCAAAGUGUUAGCGGUGUAAGAUGGACUUGCGUCUGAUUAGCUAGUUGGUGAGAAAAAAGCCCACCAAGGCAACGAUCAGUAGCCGGCUUGGGAGAGUGUACGGCCACAUUGGGACUGAGACACGGCCCAGACUCCUACGGGAGGCAGCAGUGGGGAAUUUUGCACAAUGGGGGAAACCCUGAUGCAGCGACGCCGCGUGAUUUAGAAGGCCUUCGGGUUGUAAAAAUCUUUUGUAUAGGAAGAAAAUGACAGUACUAUACGAAUAAGGUCCGGCUAAUUACGUG
rnacentral:rRNA from 1 species